rnacentral:rRNA from 1 species
UACGGAGGAUGCAAGCGUUAUCCGGAAUGAUUGGGCGUAAAGCGUCCGCAGGUGGCAAUGUAAGUCUGCUGUCAAAGCGUCUGGCUCAACCAGAUAAAGGCAGUGGAAACUACAUAGCUAGAGUAAGGUAGGGGUAGAGGGAAUUCCUGGUGUAGCGGUGAAAUGCGUAGAGAUCAGGAAGAACACCGGUGGCGAAAGCGCUUUGCUAGGCCGCAACUGACACUGAGGGACGAAAGCUAGGGGAGCGAAUGGG